rnacentral:rRNA from 1 species
UACAGAGGUCCCGAGCGUUGUUCGGAUUCACUGGGCGUAAAGGGUGCGUAGGUGGCUUGAAAAAGUUUGAUGUGAAAGCUCAGGGCUUAACCCUGAAAUGGCAUUGAAUACUGUCGGGCUGGAGGUUUGGAGGGGGGACUGGAAUUCUUGGUGUAGCAGUGAAAUGCGUAGAUAUCAAGAGGAACACCAGUGGCGAAGGCGAGUCCCUGGACAACACCUGACACUGAGGCACGAAAGCUAGGGGAGCAAACAGG